CUGGGACCGGCCGCCGUGGUGUGGUGAGGUCUUCCAGAGACUACAUGCCUGUGAUACAGAUGGAACGCAGACACAGAUAUGAGAAUCUUCUAUUAGCCCAGACACUGAAGAGAUUUGCAGAAAUGUAAAAUAAUGCCACUCUUCUCACUAAAUUAUUUUGCUUUGGAAAAUAGUUAUUUUUCAUUAAAAAUAUGUUAUUAGGCCAAAUGAAGUGGCUCACACCUGUAAUCCCAGCACUUUGGGAGGCCGAGGCGGGAAGAUCACCUGAGCCCAGGAGUUCGAAAUCAGCCUGGGCAACAUGGCCAGACCCUCUCUCAAAAAAAAAGUUAUUUAUGUUAUGUUAACAUGUAACAGGUUUAUUAUUGUUGUUUUAAAUGAAUAAAUAUUUUAUAUGUUUGUUUUAAUUCCUAAUAUAGUAAAUGUUGAUAAAUAUGAUCCACAUAAAAGCUUUUUGGAGUCCUCAAUACUUUUUAGGAGUAUAAAGUAAUUAUAAGACCAAAGAGGCAGGGCGUGCGGUGGCUCACACCUGUAAUCCCUGCACUUUGCGAGGCCAAGGCAGACGGAUCACAAGGUCAGGAGAUCAAGACCAUCCUGGCCAACAUGGUGAAACCCUGUCUCUACUAAAAAUGCAAAAAUUAGCUGGGCAUGGUGGCAAACACCUGUAAUCCCAGCUACUCAGGAGGCGGAGGCAUGAGAAUCAUUUGGACCCAGGAGGCAGAGGUUGCAGUGAGCUGAGAUCACACCAUUGCACUCCAGCCUGGGGACAGAGUCAGACUCCAUCUCAAAAAAAAAAAAAAAAACUUCCUCAAAUGGAGCUGUAAUCAACAUAUUCACUAGCCCUACAUAGAGCUGACUCUGAAAGUUGACAGUUUACUCAGUAAUUAAAAUGGCCGUAGACUCUGAAGCAGAUUUACUGUGAAGCUAAGGAGGCUUCAGCUUCAGGUGCCCUCAUUUACACUAGCCCUUUCCAAGUCCCUGGAAGGGUCCCUAGUAAUAUGUUCACACUGUCCUAUGCUUCUGUAAAAUUUAUAAAAGUAAUGUAUUUUAAACUGCAAUCUUUAGUCCUUAGUGACUUCCCUCCACCAUGUUUCCCUUUGUCUAGUGUUGGAGUGGCAAGCAAACAUUUUUGAAAUUUAGCUAAAGGGAAGUUGAGUUAGGAAUACAUUUGGUUUGAAUUUACUGGGAUAUAUUUUUAUAACCCACAGUCACUUCCAUGUGUAGUUAAGAUAUUGCCAGCUGUCCCAGUGGCUUCCAAGAAUACUCCAAUUGCCCGUUGUGCUGAUCCACCCAGCAUUGCAAAACAAAGGUGCAGGGCCAGAACUCUUGAAGUUAUUUUAAUGUGUCCAAUGUUCUAGCAUCAAAAACUAUGUGAAUAGUAGAAGAGAAGCAGGGUUGAAAUUUUGGGAACCUGAAGCUAAUCUGUGGGAAAUUAUUCCAAUUAUUGGAUGUGUAAAAUUGUAAAGAUUUAGCAUUCAUCAAUACCUAGCCAAAAAAGUGUUGUUUUUUUCUUAGAGACAGGGUUUCACUCUGUCACCCAGGCUGGAGUGGAGUUGCAUGAUCAUAGCUCACCGUAACCUCCAACUACUGCGCUCCAGCGAUCCUCCCACCUCCCAAGUAGCUGGGACUACAGGCCUGCACGACCAUGUCCGGGUUUUCUGUAGGAUUUUGUUUUGUUUGCAGAGACAGGUCUCACCAUGUGUCCAGGCUGGUCUUGAACUCCUGGGUUCAAGCAAUCCUCCCACCUAGGCCUCCCAAAGUGCUGCAAUAACAGUCAUGAGCUGUGGGGCCCUGCCCAAAAAAGAAAUUUAUAUUUUUUUCUCAGAACUUGAUGAGGACAUCCACAACAAACUAAAGAGUGUCAUUAGUUUAAAGAAAUCUGAUGGGUCCUGAACUCUUUUUAAGUCAUAUAUUAAAUAAUCUUUUGGAAGCCGGAUGUGGUGGCUCUCCCAGGUAAUUGCAGAACUUUGGGAGGCCCAGGUGGGAGGAUCUAUUAAGGCCAGAAGUUUGAGACCAGCCAGGGCAAGAUGGUGAGACCUUACCUCUACAAAAAAAGUUUUUUUAAUUAGCUGGGUGUGGUGAUAUGUGUCUGUAGUCCCAGCUAUUCAGGAGGCUGAGGCUAGAGGAUCAGGAUAUAGGAUGCAGCAAGCUGUGGUCUCACUACUGCACUCCAGCCUGGGCAACAGAAAGAGAUCCUGUGUCUAAAUAAAUAAAUAGCUUAUUGGAGAUUUUUCAAAACUGGACAACAAGCCUAAUAAUUUAUAUGACAUUACCAACAAUGAGUUGUGAACUUUAAUCAAUCACAUAUGCUAUGUGAAUUAGAAGAGAAAGAGAGUCUAGGUUAGUAAUUCAAGAUUCAUAGAAUAAAUAUUUAUAGAACACCUACCUUCUGUGUCCAAGACACUGCCUACUGAGCUGUGGAAGAUCAAACUUUAAUUAGACAAUCUCUGCUUUUAAGGAGCUUAUAAUCUUUGUUGAAAAGAAUUAAAACCUGCACUGUGGCAAUAGAAAUUCAUUCAUCCAUAAAUAAUUGCCUGCCCAUAUAAGCCAGACUAUGGUAAGUGCUGGGUAUAUGAUUCCUGCUGUUGUAGAAUUUGGAGUCCUUUGAAGAAAACCUACAACAUAAAAAUGUAUGUUUCAGCUGGGCAUGGUGGCUCACACCUGUAAUCCAAGCACUUUGGG
rnacentral:lncRNA from 1 species